CUUUAAUCCAUUAAGCCAUAACUAUCAAUACUGACCUGCAUACAUUGAAUCAAUACAUUUUGUUUUACCUAGCAAGCAGGAAAAAUAUUCACAUGAUAAAUGUGUAAAAUUCAACAAAUCAAAUGCAUAUUUGGAAAAAAGGGUACACAUAAAAAAAAAAAAAAUUUAAAAAAACAAACAUCACAUUUUCAUAUAUUGCAAAAUCUAUGUACAGAUGAUCAAAAAAAUAAACACAAAUUAAUAAAUAUACAAUUCAAGCUGUUUUAUUUUGCCACUUUCCAUUCAUAAUUCAUAUACAUUUGCAAGUGAAUACAAAUACUUUGGCGUAAUAUAUCAAACAGUGGGCUAACAUGAGACAGUCAUUUCCAAGCUGAAAUGGGGACCCCACUACAUGAUGGCCUCUUUUGUGUAUAAACCAAUUCAAUCUUUCUGGACCGUAGGUUGUUUUGUGUUAUGUUUCUCGAAGAAGUUGGUUUUUGGUGUGGUCUGUUGUACUGUCUAAUGUUUUUGGUAAAUGCUGUAAUCCUUUUAUAUAGAUAUAGGAAGAUGUGGUAUGAGUGCCAAUGAGACAACUCUCCAUCCAAUUAACAAUUUAUAAAAAUAAACCAUUAUAGGUCAAGGUACUGCCUUCAACAUGGAGCAUUGGCUCACACCAAAAAUUAAAGUGUAAAACCAUUCAAAUGGGAAAACCAAAGGUCAAUAUAAAAAUGUAUUGUUUGGAAAGGACUAUAUUUUUAGGACACAGUACAUUUUGUUUCUGCUAUUCAAAUUUACAAUAAAUAAGUCAUUAGUAAUAACCCAAGGAAUUCAUAUUUUUAACAUGAUCUAGACCCCGCCCCCUUUCAAGGUAACCCUUCAAAAUUUCUUGAAUCAGAUCAAUGUCCUUGAAAGAACCUUAUAAAUAAUUCUUCAAAUAAUCAUUCAAAGAACAAUAACAAACUAGUAUUAAAAUCAAAAUAAACAGUAUAAGACAACACAAGGUUAUAAAUGUCUAAUGACUGGGUCAGACUACAACAUUUAAAUUCUGCUAGAUAGUUGUCUCAUUGCCAAUCUACUACUUCUCUUUACUUUUACAUUCCUGAACCAAAUUAAAGUUAUUUUCAGCCGAGUGCAAGAUCAUAAAACUUUAAAGUCAGAGGUAAAUUAAAGAAGCAACAGAUCUAGAGAACAUAUAUAACAAGGUUCAGAAAACUAUCAACUAUACAACAGAUCAUGUAAAAGCCAUAGUGGUAUUGUGAAUAUUAAAAUCAAAGUUAAAAA
rnacentral:lncRNA from 1 species